rnacentral:rRNA from 1 species
GGGUUGUGAGGUUAAGCGACUAAGCGUACACGGUGGAUGCCCUGGCAGUCAGAGGCGAUGAAGGACGUGCUAAUCUGCGAUAAGCGUCGGUGAGGUGAUAUGAACCGUUAUAACCGGCGAUUUCCGAAUGGGGAAACCCAGUGUGUUUCGACACACUAUCAUUAACUGAAUCCAUAGGUUAAUGAGGCGAACCGGGGGAACUGAAACAUCUAAGUACCCCGAGGAAAAGAAAUCAACCGAGAUUCCCCAGUAGCGGCGAGCGAACGGGGAGGAGCCCAGAGCCUGAAUCAGUGUGUGUGUUAGUGGAAGCGUCUGGAAAGGCGCGCGAUACAGGGUGACAGCCCCGUACACAAAAAUGCACAUAUUGUGAGCUCGAUGAGUAGGGCGGGACACGUGGUAUCCUGUCUGAAUAUGGGGGGACCAUCCUCCAAGGCUAAAUACUCCUGACUGACCGAUAGUGAACCAGUACCGUGAGGGAAAGGCGAAAAGAACCCCGGCGAGGGGAGUGAAAAAGAACCUGAAACCGUGUACGUACAAGCAGUGGGAGCCUCUUAAUGGGGUGACUGCGUACCUUUUGUAUAAUGGGUCAGCGACUUAUAUUCUGUAGCAAGGUUAACCGAAUAGGGGAGCCGAAGGGAAACCGAGUCUUAACUGGGCGUUAAGUUGCAGGGUAUAGACCCGAAACCCGGUGAUCUAGCCAUGGGCAGGUUGAAGGUUGGGUAACACUAACUGGAGGACCGAACCGACUAAUGUUGAAAAAUUAGCGGAUGACUUGUGGCUGGGGGUGAAAGGCCAAUCAAACCGGGAGAUAGCUGGUUCUCCCCGAAAGCUAUUUAGGUAGCGCCUCGUGAAUUCAUCUCCGGGGGUAGAGCACUGUUUCGGCAAGGGGGUCAUCCCGACUUACCAACCCGAUGCAAACUGCGAAUACCGGAGAAUGUUAUCACGGGAGACACACGGCGGGUGCUAACGUCCGUCGUGAAGAGGGAAACAACCCAGACCGCCAGCUAAGGUCCCAAAGUCAUGGUUAAGUGGGAAACGAUGUGGGAAGGCCCAGACAGCCAGGAUGUUGGCUUAGAAGCAGCCAUCAUUUAAAGAAAGCGUAAUAGCUCACUGGUCGAGUCGGCCUGCGCGGAAGAUGUAACGGGGCUAAACCAUGCACCGAAGCUGCGGCAGCGACACUAUGUGUUGUUGGGUAGGGGAGCGUUCUGUAAGCCUGUGAAGGUGUACUGUGAGGUAUGCUGGAGGUAUCAGAAGUGCGAAUGCUGACAUAAGUAACGAUAAAGCGGGUGAAAAGCCCGCUCGCCGGAAGACCAAGGGUUCCUGUCCAACGUUAAUCGGGGCAGGGUGAGUCGACCCCUAAGGCGAGGCCGAAAGGCGUAGUCGAUGGGAAACAGGUUAAUAUUCCUGUACUUGGUGUUACUGCGAAGGGGGGACGGAGAAGGCUAUGUUGGCCGGGCGACGGUUGUCCCGGUUUAAGCGUGUAGGCUGGUUUUCCAGGCAAAUCCGGAAAAUCAAGGCUGAGGCGUGAUGACGAGGCACUACGGUGCUGAAGCGACAAAUGCCCUGCUUCCAGGAAAAGCCUCUAAGCAUCAGGUAACAUCAAAUCGUACCCCAAACCGACACAGGUGGUCAGGUAGAGAAUACCAAGGCGCUUGAGAGAACUCGGGUGAAGGAACUAGGCAAAAUGGUGCCGUAACUUCGGGAGAAGGCACGCUGAUAUGUAGGUGAAGCGACUUGCUCGUGGAGCUGAAAUCAGUCGAAGAUACCAGCUGGCUGCAACUGUUUAUUAAAAACACAGCACUGUGCAAACACGAAAGUGGACGUAUACGGUGUGACGCCUGCCCGGUGCCGGAAGGUUAAUUGAUGGGGUUAGCGGUAACGCGAAGCUCUUGAUCGAAGCCCCGGUAAACGGCGGCCGUAACUAUAACGGUCCUAAGGUAGCGAAAUUCCUUGUCGGGUAAGUUCCGACCUGCACGAAUGGCGUAAUGAUGGCCAGGCUGUCUCCACCCGAGACUCAGUGAAAUUGAACUCGCUGUGAAGAUGCAGUGUACCCGCGGCAAGACGGAAAGACCCCGUGAACCUUUACUAUAGCUUGACACUGAACAUUGAGCCUUGAUGUGUAGGAUAGGUGGGAGGCUUUGAAGUGUGGACGCCAGUCUGCAUGGAGCCGACCUUGAAAUACCACCCUUUAAUGUUUGAUGUUCUAACGUGGGCCCCUUACCGGGGUUGCGGACAGUGUCUGGUGGGUAGUUUGACUGGGGCGGUCUCCUCCUAAAGAGUAACGGAGGAGCACGAAGGUUGGCUAAUCCUGGUCGGACAUCAGGAGGUUAGUGCAAUGGCAUAAGCCAGCUUGACUGCGAGCGUGACGGCGCGAGCAGGUGCGAAAGCAGGUCAUAGUGAUCCGGUGGUUCUGAAUGGAAGGGCCAUCGCUCAACGGAUAAAAGGUACUCCGGGGAUAACAGGCUGAUACCGCCCAAGAGUUCAUAUCGACGGCGGUGUUUGGCACCUCGAUGUCGGCUCAUCACAUCCUGGGGCUGAAGUAGGUCCCAAGGGUAUGGCUGUUCGCCAUUUAAAGUGGUACGCGAGCUGGGUUUAGAACGUCGUGAGACAGUUCGGUCCCUAUCUGCCGUGGGCGCUGGAGAACUGAGGGGGGCUGCUCCUAGUACGAGAGGACCGGAGUGGACGCAUCACUGGUGUUCGGGUUGUCAUGCCAAUGGCACUGCCCGGUAGCUAAAUGCGGAAGAGAUAAGUGCUGAAAGCAUCUAAGCACGAAACUUGCCCCGAGAUGAGUUCUCCCUGACUCCUUGAGAGUCCUGAAGGAACGUUGAAGACGACGACGUUGAUAGGCCGGGUGUGUAAGCGCAGCGAUGCGUUGAGCUAACCGGUACUAAUGAACCGUGAGGCUUAACCUUACAACGCCGAAG